CCCAUUCUAAAAUGUCAAGCGUUUCGGUUUUGAGAAAAAAAGAAAGCUGAAGAAAGCAUGACUCAUGACAGGGCUGACAAACAACUAUCCGGAGGUAUGCUAGUGAGUCACGCUGUGGAGAUCUGCCUUUAUGUUGUGGAAAGGGCCCGGGAUGGAAGAAGCAUCAUGGGACCAGCCAGUAAAAUUCCACUACGCUCUGAAGCCCAUUUGGAGGUGAUUUCAAAACACUGGGCUUUUUCCGGCCCCGACCUGAUGGGAGGCUCUGGGUACCCUCAGGAUACCAAAUGUGUUGCGACCCCUCAAAUAAUACAAAGGCAUCGCGUCCAAGCAGGAUGCAUCUAACCAGACACGCAUUCAUACGUCAACAUGUAGAUUAUUAAAGCAAGGCAAGGUCAACGUUUCUGUAUUAAAGGGAAUAGGGCCUAGUGGAGUUUUCAUAUAUAAAAACAACACUGCAUAGUUACAGACUUUCACGAUAAAUUGUUUUCUCAGGAGACGAUAAAGGGACAGAUGCUCAUAACUCUUCCAUCAAGAGCUUUAAGAAAGUAAGAAAAGCCGGGGUGCCUGGGUGGCUCAGUGGGUUGAGCGUCCAACUUUGGCUCAGGCCAUGAUCUCACGGUUCAUGGGUUCGAGCCCCACGUCGGGCUCUGUGCUGACAGCUCGGAGCCCGGAGCCUGCUUUGGAUUCUGUGUCUCCUUCUCUCUCUGCUCUCCCCCCCUCCCCCACCUCACUCUGUCUCUCUCCCUCUCUCUCUCUCUCUCUCAAAAAUAAACAAACACUAAAAAAUUUAAAAAAAGAAAGA
rnacentral:lncRNA from 1 species